GGGACAGUAGGUUGGUCGUGCCACCGGUACGUACUGGUCUCACUGAUUCCUCCUUCCUGAAGAACCGUAAUGCCAUUAAUUUGGUGUUGCGGGGAAACAGGACUGUUACUUUGAAAAACUUAGAGUGUUUAAAGCAAGCUAACGCUUGAAUACAUUAGCAUGGAAUAAUGAAAUAGGACGAUCGAUCCUAUUUUGUUGGUUUCUAGGAUUGACGUA
rnacentral:rRNA from 1 species